rnacentral:rRNA from 1 species
CCUUAGGGGGCGAUCUUUUCCCUCCUUUCCUUUUCUUCCCUCUCUCUUCUUCUUUCUUUUCCUUCGGAAGUUCAAGGCUGGGGCUCAACCUCAGUAGUGCUUCCGAUACUGGCAGUCUUGAGGGCGGUAGGGAGAGGUGGAAUGGCUGGUGUAGCGGUGAAAUGCAUAGAUAUCAGUCGGAACACCGGUGGCGAAGGCGGCCUCUUGGGCCGUUCCUGACGCUGAGGCGCGAAAGCCAGGGGAGCGAACGG